rnacentral:misc_RNA from 1 species
UCCGGUUUGUCACCGGCAGUUCCGCCAGAGUGCUCAGCACAACCUGUUAGCAACUGACAGUAAGGGUUGCGCUCGUUGCGGGACUUAACCCAACAUCUCACGACACGAGCUGACGACAGCCAUGCAGCACCUGUGUGCGCGCCCCUUGCGGGGCUGCCCACUCUCGUGAACAUUCACGCACAUGUCAAGCCCUGGUAAGGUUCCUCGUGUACCAUCGAAUUAAACCACAUGCUCCACCGCUUGUGCGGGCCCCCGUCAAUUCCUUUGAGUUUCACCCUUGCGAGCAUACUCCCCAGGCGGUGCACUUAACACGUUAACUACGGCACAGAACCCGUACGGGCCCCACGCCUAGUGCACAUCGUUUACAGCGUGGACUAC